GAAUGAUAUCAGUCAGGUAGAUGGACUGGAUGGUUUGCGGAGACUGAAUGAGUUGAAUUGAAAUCGAAUUAAAUCUUUGAGUGAGAACUCAUUCUGUGGACAGAGAGUUCUGCUGUAUUUGCACCUGGCAGAGAAUCGCAAUCGUGAACUGAACCUACUUCAGCCUUUCACUAAACUCCAGAGACAUUAACAAAAUACAGUGUUGUUGGACCCUGUGAGAGCCCUGCCUUUUGCCUGCCCCUGAAUAUAAAGUAAUUACAGACAGCCAUUACUGCACCAGCACUGCAGCCCAAGGGGACAAUUAAGCAGUAUUUACAUUGAUUGAAGGUGGCACGGCGAUUACUGCACAGACAAGCAGUGGUACUGCAUUUGUCUACACUGCAGGUUCUGGAUGGCAUGACAGUCACCCUUGAAGAAAGAACUAGAGCAGAGCUUUUAAAUAAUGAAGCACAGGUAGCUCAUGCUUACUAUCCAGAUCAAAUGAAUGGAUCAAAUAGAACUUAUACUGCAGAUACAGUUACCUUGUGCAUGUGUAUAGGGUUCUGCAGUAGUUUAGGAGGUGAAAUGACUUUACCCAGUUUGGUACCAUUGGUGACCCGACCAGCUCCUUUAAGAGUGACAUCAACUUCAGGCAGAUCCAGCCACUACAUGACAGCCCUGCAGCAGAUCGGAUAUAGAGUUCUCUCCACUUUCCCUGACGCCGAUCCUGAGACCAGGUAGCAGUGUCACAGUGUACCCAGACCUUCUCCUCCUCUCUAAAGCAGAGUCAUAGACGCACUGUGUGAGUCGUGUAUUUUAGCUUUGGUCUUGUGUGUUGUUGUUCAUCUUUGGAUCUUAAAUAGGACAUCAAUGAACAGUUUGUUUAUUUAUUUGGAAUUGUGUCAGUGUCAAAGAUAUUACAUGUAUAUUUUCUAUUAAAUUCUAUUCAACUAUUCGAGAGUGGUGUCCUUUAUCUUAAGUCUUUGUUCAUGUAUCAUUUUCACUCUCUGUGAGGUUUGGUUUUAUUUUUAAUUGUAUUUGAUAGUUAUGAAGUCACUUCAAAUAUAAAAGUUCAUAAAAAACAUAUGUCAAAAACAUUUUUCUUGAAAACUGUAGUUGCU
ensembl:lncRNA